AGGUUGAACGGCCACAUUGGGACUGAGACACGGCCCAGACACUCCUACGGGGGGCAGCAGUGGGGAAUAUUACCCAAUGGGGGAAACCCUGAUGCAGCGACGCCGCGUGGAGGAAGAAGGUCUUCGGAUUGUAAACACUUGUUGCAGAGGAAGAUAAUGAACGGUACUCAACAAGGAAGUGACGGCUAACUACGUGCCAGCAG
rnacentral:rRNA from 1 species